rnacentral:rRNA from 1 species
AUUCUGGCUCAGGAUGAACGCUGGCGGCGUGCUUAACACAUGCAAGUCGAACGGGAUCCAUCAAGCUUGCUUGGUGGUGAGAGUGGCGAACGGGUGAGUAAUGCGUGACCGACCUGCCCCAUACACCGGAAUAGCUCCUGGAAACGGGUGGUAAUGCCGGAUGCUCCAGUUGAUCGCAUGGUCUUCUGGGAAAGCUUUCGCGGUAUGGGAUGGGGUCGCGUCCUAUCAGCUUGACGGCGGGGUAACGGCCCACCGUGGCUUCGACGGGUAGCCGGCCUGAGAGGGCGACCGGCCACAUUGGGACUGAGAUACGGCCCAGACUCCUACGGGAGGCAGCAGUGGGGAAUAUUGCACAAUGGGCGCAAGCCUGAUGCAGCGACGCCGCGUGAGGGAUGGAGGCCUUCGGGUUGUAAACCUCUUUUAUCGGGGAGCAAGCGAGAGUGAGUUUACCCGUUGAAUAAGCACCGGCUAACUACGUGCCAGCAGCCGCGGUAAUACGUAGGGUGCAAGCGUUAUCCGGAAUUAUUGGGCGUAAAGGGCUCGUAGGCGGUUCGUCGCGUCCGGUGUGAAAGUCCAUCGCUUAACGGUGGAUCUGCGCCGGGUACGGGCGGGCUGGAGUGCGGUAGGGGAGACUGGAAUUCCCGGUGUAACGGUGGAAUGUGUAGAUAUCGGGAAGAACACCAAUGGCGAAGGCAGGUCUCUGGGCCGUUACUGACGCUGAGGAGCGAAAGCGUGGGGAGCGAACAGGAUUAGAUACCCUGGUAGUCCACGCCGUAAACGGUGGAUGCUGGAUGUGGGGCCCGUUCCACGGGUUCCGUGUCGGAGCUAACGCGUUAAGCAUCCCGCCUGGGGAGUACGGCCGCAAGGCUAAAACUCAAAGAAAUUGACGGGGGCCCGCACAAGCGGCGGAGCAUGCGGAUUAAUUCGAUGCAACGCGAAGAACCUUACCUGGGCUUGACAUGUUCCCGACAGCCGUAGAGAUAUGGCCUCCCUUCGGGGCGGGUUCACAGGUGGUGCAUGGUCGUCGUCAGCUCGUGUCGUGAGAUGUUGGGUUAAGUCCCGCAACGAGCGCAACCCUCGCCCCGUGUUGCCAGCGGAUUAUGCCGGGAACUCACGGGGGACCGCCGGGGUUAACUCGGAGGAAGGUGGGGAUGACGUCAGAUCAUCAUGCCCCUUACGUCCAGGGCUUCACGCAU